rnacentral:rRNA from 1 species
GCUACGGGUGGCUGCAGUAAGGAAUAUUGGUCAAUGGACGGAAGUCUGAACCAGCCAUCCCGCGUGCAGGAAGAAGGUCCUAUGGAUUGUAAACUGCUUUUAGCAGAGACGAAACGCCUUCAUUUAUGGGGGUUUGACGGUAUCUGCGGAAUAAGCACCGGCUAACUCCGUGCCAGCAGCCGCGGUAAUACGGAGGGUGCAAGCGUUAUCCGGAAUCACUGGGUUGUAGGGGUGGGAAGGCGGGGGUUUAGAAAGCCUGUAGCUUAACUACAGAAUUGCCAUUGAUACUGAUUGUCUUGAAUUGGGUUGAGGUUAGCGGAAUGUGACAUGUAACGGUGAAAUGUUUAGAUAUGUCAUGGAACACCGAUUGCGAAGGCAGCUAGCUGGGCCUUGAUUGACGCUGAGGCACGAAAGCGUGGGUAGCGAACAGGAUUAGAUACCCGGGUAGUC